GUGAACGCUGGCGGUAGGCCUAACACAUGCAAGUCGAACGGCAGCACAGUAAGAGCUUGCUCUUACGGGUGGCGAGUGGCGGACGGGUGAGGAAUACAUCGGAAUCUACUUUUUCGUGGGGGAUAACGUAGGGAAACUUACGCUAAUACCGCAUACGACCUACGGGUGAAAGCAGGGGAUCUUCGGACCUUGCGCGAUUGAAUGAGCCGAUGUCGGAUUAGCUAGUUGGCGGGGUAAAGGCCCACCAAGGCGACGAUCCGUAGCUGGUCUGAGAGGAUGAUCAGCCACACUGGAACUGAGACACGGUCCAGACUCCUACGGGAGGCAGCAGCGGGGAAUAUUGGACAAUGGGCGCAAGCCUGAUCCAGCCAUACCGCGUGGGUGAAGAAGGCCUUCGGGUUGUAAAGCCCUUUUGUUGGGAAAGAAAAGCAGCAGGUUAAUACCCCGCUGUUCUGACGGUACCCAAAGAAUAAGCACCGGCUAACUUCGUG
rnacentral:rRNA from 1 species